GUAUAAUACUAUAUGAGUAUAUUUAUGCUAAUUAGUAGAGCAUUAAAUAUUACCUUUUAUACAACAUAACCUCUACAGUAUUGAUGGAAAGGUCUUGAUACGUAGAAAAUUGAGAAAAAUAGAUAAUCUAAAGAGGUAAAUAAUGGCAAAAACUUGUCAGAAAAUGUAAUUAACUUGUGAAUUUGUAGAUAUUGUGAAAUCAAUUCCAAUAGUUUCUGUGAAUAUUGAUAUGUCAUGUCAUUUAUUUUUUACAUCAUAUAAAUACUGCUGUCUUACAUGGAGCUCUGUAACACUAAGUGUUAUGGUAGUGAAGAACAGUAGAGGUAAUAUUCAUCCAGCUACUUACAAUAUCAGUACCUUGUGUGCACUUUCCAAAUCUAACUGUGAAUUAGCAGCUGUCUGCAAGCAGAGUUGUACACACUGUGUUCCCCUUCCAGCGAUUUCACUGCAUGUCCCUCCGCAUUGAGAGAUCAAAGACUUCCUCCACAAAGACAGCUCCAGGAACUUUGUGGACUUUGUGACUUUAUUAGGAAGUUGUUCUCUGUAUGCCCAGUGACUGGACUCUGUAUGUUACACUUGUUUGUGUGCUUACUGUAUGAGAUGUAGCAAAUGGAAAUGGGGAUUAAAAGGACGUUGUAUUUUAUUGUGGUGUUAAAAGAUCCUUCUUCUUCACAAUUAAGCAUCAAUCUGCAUAUUUUUAUUGAGUAUUUGCCCAACUCUGUCAUUUUUGCUACUGUGCAUACAAGACAUUUUGUAUGUAUUGUGAAAAAUUUGAGGGUUAGCAAAGAAAUAGCAAGCAUACAUGAGACAUGGUAACAUAAACAAGUUCAAUUCCAGGCAAUAAGUCAGAAUUGUUUAUGUUAUCAGUGCUCAAGUAAUACACCCGACAGUGUCUGAAAUGAAUAGGGUUAAUGCCAGAAACAUUUCUAAAAAAUAAUCUUUUGUCUCAGAAUUUUGGGAGUUUAUUUAUCUAUUUUUUGACACAUUUAGGGUUAGGGUUAGGUUUUAUCUACUGUAGGCUGACAUUUUAGAUUUAGAAGCAAGUUAAUUUUUCAAAUUGAUAAACAUUUUUCCUCUGACUGGCAGGAAUAUUAGCUUUUGUCAAAAUAUGAUAAUACAGAUUUUCAAACAAAUUGAACAAACUUCUAUAUUUGACUUAUAUUUUGUGUAAAAGAGCAUUUCCAAAAUCUUACAUAACUGUUGCCAAUUGGGAUUAUUUAAGGUUCUACACCUUUACAAGUUAACCAUGUGGUUCUUAAGCAUCAUAAUUACCAUAAUCAACCAAUCAAAACCAUAGUUUGAAUCUAUGAUAUGUCAGGAAGGACAUCCUGCAUAAAAACUCUGCCAAGUCGGCUUGUAGAUUGUGGUGUCUCAUAUGGCUGCAUGAGGUAGAGAGGAAUGGAUUCAACCAAUCAAUGGGGUUAAAACCAAAUGCUAUCUUCAGCUGGUUUGUGGGAGGUCUUGGCAAAAACAAAAGAUCACAGGCGGUAAAAAGAGAUAACUGUACUCAGAAGGCUGUUAGCAGAAGAUCAUUACCAAGGCUAUCCUGAUGAAUGUGAGCUAUGCUAGUGGAAUUAUCCCAAGCCAAAGAACCCAAGAGACACUGCUGACCACCAUGGAGAGAAACCAGGGAGGAAGACAUCUUGACUGACCUUCAUGAACUGUUAUGUGUUCAAAGAAGAAAACAUCUUUUCCUCUGUUACAGUAGGGGAAAACAUAUUAGUUUUCACGUAAUGGAAAAGGAAACCUAAUCAAAUUAUCAUGAAACGCAAGACCAACAGUCUGCAGAUCUUUGUCGACAUUAGAUGUUUCAGUAUUACAGUCAUUUGAAAUGUAAUGUACUGUGAUUGGUCUAGUCAGACAAUUUAAACAUGACACGGGAUGGAUGGAAAGAUUAGGGGGAUGCUCAUUUCUUCCAAACACAGAAACAUGGAGCUCACUUCCAAAGGUAACUUGUCCAACGCUGAUAAGGAGUGAACAAGAAAGUGAUGGAGCCCGGGCCAACAAAACCAUGGAAGAUGGCAUCCAUUCUAAUAACUAAGAGAAUGGCUACACAACACAGCAACCUCUCUUCGGCUUUAUUUUAAUUCAUUCUGUAUAAUUUGGAUUCAAGGUUAUUAUUCUGCAGAUACGAAUGAUCUCUGAUAAUACAGAAAAGAUCAAAGGUAGCAUGUUAUGAAGGAAACACUAAGGAGACAGCUCAUCUGACCCAGGUAUCUGAGUUUGGAUGAACAGAACAUGGUUUCCUUACAUACAGGUUGGACGACCAAUCAACUAACCAGAAGCACAGCUUUGGGCUAAUCCAUUGGUUCCCAGCCCUUUCCUGCGGGUUUUAGGUGUUUACUUGUUCCACUACACCAGAAAAGAAAGGACGAUUAACAGGCUUCUAUAGCCCUUGAUUGCAAAGGAGGAGCCCUAAUUUGAAGCAGGUGUGGUUCAACAAAGAGAUAUCUAAAACUUGAAGGGCAGGAGUCCCGGAGGACCUGGGUUGGGAACCACGGAGCUAAUCUAUAUGAAAAAAAACACGCUGCAGCUCUU